GCUGUCGUGGGAUGGUUGUAUUUAUUAGAUUGAAACCAAUGUUGGAGUUGAAUCAUAAUAACUGUGCGGAUCGUUCUAUUUUGAGCGAUGAAUCGAAUGGGUUUCCGCCCUAUCAGUUGGAUGGCUGUGUAUUGGACAGCCAUGACAUUGACGGGUAACGGAGGAUCGGGGUUCGAUACCGGUGAGGGCGCCUGAGAAAUGGCGACCACAUCCAAGGAAGGCAGCAGGCGCGUAAAUUACCCAAUGCUAAUUCAGCGAGGUAGUGACAAGAAAUAACGAUUUUUGAUCAAAUGAUCAGAAAAUUGGAAUGAGAACAAUUUAAAUCCCUUAUCGAGGAUCAAUUGGAGGGCAAGUCUGGUGAAGUUGUUGAUGCCAGCGAAAGAGUGUAUGCUCUAGUUGAGGCUUGUGGAUUUAUGAUCUGUAGAGUCCAGCGACACAACCUGGGACGAGGAAAGCUGAUGUAGCUAAUCUCGUGGCGAGAUACGGAGACGUGUCCGUCGUAACGCGCGGCAAGGUGUGGGUUUGCUUUUUUGUGAGCAAGCUUGAGGAACGUGCUAAUCCGACUCGGAUGAAGAG
rnacentral:rRNA from 1 species